rnacentral:lncRNA from 1 species
AAAAAAACUACAAAGGAAGGAGACUCAAGGGCAGCAAGCACAUCCUUAACCCGCCUCCCGGAGAGGAACUGAGGCCAUCCUAGGGCAGAAAUACAAAAUAGAGCACUAGGUUUGGACGCGAUAUUUAUUUUUUCUUAAAACGGCCAAUGCAUUGUUUUAUUUAAAGAUCCUUUGGGUUAAAAAAAAAAAUCCCUCACACUUUCUAUUGCAGAUUCGCUAACGCGGUAGUUCCAGUAACUUUGAAUGAAUAAAUGACUGGAAGUUAUUGUUUGGGGGAAGCUUGAGGAAAGCUUGCCAUUUGCCAAGCAUUAAUCCCAUCAUUGGGGAUAUUCAAGCAGAGAAUGGAAGGAACCCUUGUGCUCUUCUUCCCCACGCACACACGUGUGCAAUCUGAGCUUCUCACAGAAGUGGACUGACAAACAUCCAUUACGCAGAAAAUCUUUUCUUUAGAGGUGUCUGGUCCACAGUAAAAGAGUGGUUAGUUAUUUCACUUUGGCGAUGAAGUUCAAAGACAUUUGGCCCUAAUCUGACAUAAGAAAUUAAUGAUUCAGCACCUGGUUCUUCGGCGGCUCUAGACAGCAUCUCCAAACUGCCCUUGAAGAAGGUUAGAGUCCAUGACGGCAAGACAGAAGCAACAGGCAGCAGGCAUGGUGGCAAGAGAAGGCGGUUGAGAGCUAAUUUCUCCAACUGCACACUGGAAGCAGAAAAUGACCUGGAAGUAACGAAGCUUUCUACUCUCAAUGCCAACCCAGUAACAUACUUCCUCCAGCUAAGCCACACCUCCUAAACCCACCCAGUGCCCACAACUGGAGACCAAGGGCUCACACGCCUCAGACUGUGGGAGGUGCUUCUCAUUCAAAUCACCACACUCUUGAAUUUCAAAUUAAAGCACA